rnacentral:lncRNA from 1 species
GCUUGACCAUUUUUCCUAAGGCGGGAGCGGGCUGCUGGGGCUUCUCUGUUGGAGGAAAGUGGCUGCAGUAUACUGUUACCGAGAUCAGAGUGAAGACACCUGGAGAGAAGUUGUCAUUGCUAAGAGUGUCUCUGGAAGACUCCUGGUCUGCGGUUAGUAUUCAGAUGCUCUCCAUGAAUACCCUUCCAUCCUAAGUAGCUUCUUACAAUUAGAACCAGAAGUAGAGUCAUAUUAUGGCCAAAUUAACUAAUGUCUGGAGAUGAUGAAAACCAUUCGGGGGGAAAAAAGGAAAUAAGAGGAUAGUAACAAAAAUGAGAUAAAAUUAUAUUUUUAAUCAAGUAAUCUCUAAGAAGCUUAGAAAACCUAAUUUUUUACUAUGUGCACAUCUGAAAAACUGUUUCAAAAAUGUAUUAAGGAGUGUCUGGUUAAUAUACAUUUCAGUUUUUUCAAUUAAGGAAAUAUGUAUUGUGGACAUAUAUUGCUUUGUCUUUUCCUGCUUUUAAGUACUAGAUCCACACCACUGAAUCACAGGAUGGUUAUAACUUCAUGUAGGCAUUUUACUAUUUUUUUGGCUGUAGCUACUGAUGUAGGGGUAAUUCAGGCUAACUAGCAUCCUUUCUCAGGAGUUUUCAAAUUAGAGCUUGCAGAAAAGAUCCAUUUUUUUUCUCUGAUUGCAAAGCUAUAAAAAUGUGAGCUCAAGAGUUCCCUCAUGGCUCAGUGAGUUAAGUAUCUGGCAUUGUCACUGCUGUAGCAUGAGUUCAAGCCCUGGCCCAGGAACUUCCAUAUGCCAAGGGUGCAGCCAAAAAAGAAAAAAAAAAUGUGACCUCAGAGGUGCUUGUGGUAAUGUGCCUUUUCAUUUAUAAUAUCUAGUCUGGAAAAAUAAGGCAGAUAUGGGGAAGGCAGGAGAGAGAACGUCCCUGAAGGACCUCUAUCCUUUUAUAAAAUAUGGAAUUCAAGUGUUGUGUUCAUUGGACUUCUCAAAGCUCUGUAACAUGACAUUUUGUUUAAACAUCAGAAGAUCAUAUUUAACAUCCAGGACAUCUUAGCCAGCUCUUCCAUAGCCAAAACUUUACUGGCCAUACAUCCCAAUCUUUCUAAGCCUCUGCUUUACCAAAAUCAGCAUUAGCUAGUUAACUACAGUUAGUGGUUUAACCAGUAGCCUCCUUAAUUUUUGCUGACUUAUUGUCAGCUUAGGCAAUUUCAUUACCUUUGUUUGUUAUUUCACUUUGAAACAUCCUAAUUUUCUUAUCUGUAAAAUUGAGGUGAGAAAUAAUACCUAUAAAUGCUGUCUUUUGAUAAUGCCCCAGAUAAAAGCAACUGUAAGGUCUUAUACUGUGUUAUUAUGGCCAUUAGUGUUGUUAUUAUGAUUACCAAUACUGCUGUCAUCAAUGAUAAUGUGAUGCUGUUAGAACCUAUAUGUUGUUUUUCUUGCUGUAGUGUGUAUUUUAUUAUAAUCCCAGUGAUGCAGGAGACUUUAGAUUCCAUCUGGUCCAGCCUCCCACUCACUAAAGAAUCAUCCCUGCCAGUGGCUGUCCACCCUUUGUUCAAAUAUAGUGACAGUGAUAGAAAACCUGAUGCUUUAUGGGGCAUUCUUUUCCUUUUUAAGACUUCUUUUAACUGUUAAGAAGUUUUCAUCACAAAGGGUUGAAAUCACCUCCUAGUAAUUUCUACACACUGGCCUUAUUUCUGUCCUUUGCAGCAAUAGAAAUCUAUUUUCUCUCUUCUAUAAUAUCUUUUGUGUUUUAAAGCUAGAAGUAUUCCGUACUCUCAACUUUUUGAAAGCCUAGUAUUAAACUAAUCCACUCAUUCAUUCAUUAACUAUUUUAUUAUGCAUCACUGUAUCCUACAAAGAUUUAAAGUAAAUUCUAAAAAAUAAAAUAGAACAAAAUGAAUUCUAACAUGUAAUAUAAAACAUGGUCAAAUAUAAGAAAAAGAAGCAGAGCUAUAGGAAAUUAAAUAUGAGUAGAAUGUAAAGAAUGAAAGCUAAAGAACAGAAAUAUGCAUGAGCCUUUGGUUUAAACUUGUUUGGCUCUGAUUUAAAAUCAAAAGGGAGGAAUUCCUGUUGUGGCGCAGUGGAAAUGAAUCCGAAUUGGGACUAGGAACCAUGAGGUUGUGGGUUUGAUCCUUGGCCUCACUCAGUGGGCUAAGGAUCUGCUGUUGCCGUGAGCUGUGGUGUAAGUCGCAGACCCAGCUCGGAUCUGGUGUUGCUGUGGCUUUGGUGUAGGCUGGCAGCUGUAGCCCCAAUUAGACCCCUAGCCUGGGAACCUCCAUAUGCUAUGGGACAAAAAAAGACAAAAAUAAAAAUUAAAAAAUAAAUAAAAUCAAAAGGGAAUAUGAUAUCUAAGUUAUCAGAAACAGGAGAACAUUUUUCUGUCAUCAAAUAAAAUGCUUUUUCCCCUAUGUCAGCCUCCACCUGAGGAGGCUCUUAUCUCUGUUCACUGACAAUAGGCUCAUCAACAUGUCCCUGGAAAAUGAAGUAACAGGCUUCAAAAAUCCAUGAAAUGAAUUCAGGACGCACUUUUGUUGUCAACCUCUGAAAAAAAUGUGAUGCCCAAAAAUAAAAACAGAUUUUUACAAUUAGCUUGAUUAUGGUUUGGAGAAAUUAUUUCCUCUCUUAUUUCAGACACUGUUGUUUUUAUCAGGACAGUUUAAGUAAAAUUGUUUUAACUUAUUGUGCAACUAUGUCACUUUGUUAGCCUAUAUAAGUUUAUGUUCAAAAUACUAAAUUUUGGGAUUUCCCAUUGUGGCUCAGUGGUAAUGAAUCCAACUAGUAUCCAUGAAGAUGCGGGUUCGAUCCCUGGCCUUGUUCAGUUGGUGAAGGAUCCAGUGUUGCUGUGAGCUGUGGUGUAGGUCACAAAUGUAGCUUGUAUCCUGUGUUGUUGUGGCUGUGGCAUAGGCUGGCAGCUGCAGUUCGGAUUCGACCCCUAGCCUGGGAACUUCCAUUUGCUGUAGGUGCAGCCCUAAGAAGCAAAAUAAAAAUCAAAAAAACCAACAAAAUACUAGAUUUUUUGUUUCAUCGUUUUGUUUGUAUGGAUUAAUAUUAAGCCAAGUUUCACAAAUUUUAAUGCUAUUAGUUUUUUUUAAAUCUUUCUAGGGCUGCAUCCUUGGUAUAUGGAAGUUCCCAGUUAGGGGUUGAAUUGGAGCUGUGGCUGUCAGCCUACACCAUAGCCACAGCAACACUGGAUCCUUAACCCACUGAGCGAGGCCAGGAAUCGAAUCUGAGUCCUUGUGGAUACUAAUUGGGUUUGUUACUGCUGAGCCAUGUCGGGAACUCCAAUGCCAUUAAUUUUUUGGGAUACAAAUGCUUAUAUUGUCUCAGAGCACUGGCAGCUUCAUAAUCUGUUUCCUUUAUUUCUUUAAAAUACCAUAUACCUAAUCUCUUAAGAGUUUAGUCUGUAUCUCAUGAUUCUUCCUCAAUUUUUAUAUUGCCAAAAUUAAUAGUAUCUUCUUUGUCUUCAGCUAAUCAUUGAGGAAAAUGUUGAUGAAGGCUAGAUUCAGCUCCAGCUAUAACUGAAGUUAACCCUAAUGGCAGCAUUAAAAUUGUUUGGAAGCCAAGUAGAGACCGUGUUUAAGGGCAACAUGGUACCAUAAAAGAGUAUCGCCUUUAGACUUAGACAGACUUAGGUUCAAGUACUGACUUCACCAUUUAUUUUAUGUGUGACCUUGAACAGUUAUUAACUACUUUUAAAACGCAAUUUCCUCAUCUGUAUGUAGUAGGGUGUCCUAGCUAAUCCCUAACUGGAUUGCUUUUGACAGGAUUAGUAAAAUUGCAACCUCUGUGGGCAUUGAUUUGCAUGAUUUUAUUUUCUGGCAAUAUUUUGUAAUCUGAGAGAAAGAAUGAAAGAAAGAGUUGAAUUUCUUGUGUUCAGAAGCAACAUGAUAUGAUAGAAUGGAUGUAGAAUUAUGGAAUUCUUGCUCUCAAGUAGCUCUGUUGCUGUGGGCAGGUCAGUUUACCUCUUAACCUUUCUUAAUCCCUAAAGAAAGGAAUUGGGAGUUCCCGUCGGGGCGCAACUGAAACGAAUCUGACUGGGAACCAUGAGGUUGUGGGUCCUAUCUCUGGCCUUGCUCAGUGCGUCAAGAAUCUGGCCUUGCUGUGAGCUGUACUGUAGGUUGUCGACGCAGCUGGGAUCCUGCGUUGCUGUGGCUCUGGCAUAGGCCGGCAGCUGUAACUCUCUUAGACCCCCUAGCCUGGGAAUCUCCACAUGCUGCGGGUGUGGCUCUAAAAAGCAAAAAAAGAAAAAAAAAAAAAAAAAAAAAAA